CUUUGCCGUAGGGCCGAACCCCUUGUUCCUGUGCGACAAACCAAACGAAACGAGCGACUCCCUUCUCAGGGUCUUCCCGUAAUGCUCGCUCCAUCUCACUGAAACUCUGAUUUGGAUGAUCGUACCACUCAUACCAGACUGAGUCGGCUCACCUGCAGCUAUUAACUGCUCUCGGCGACCUUAGUUUCUUUAAUUUCGGACCUUUUUCUGGGUAGUGACAAUGUCGACCCCUGCUAGGAAGAGGCUGAUGAGAGAUUUUAAGAGGCUGCAGCAAGAUCCACCUGCAGGAAUCAGUGGUGCCCCUCAGGACAACAAUAUAAUGCUCUGGAAUGCUGUCAUAUUUGGCCCCGAUGAUACUCCAUGGGAUGGAGGACGUUUAAGUUGACACUUCAAUUUACGGAGGAUUAUCCAAACAAACGCCAACUG